rnacentral:sRNA from 1 species
UCCUGGAUGGAGGACAGAUUGUGACUGUAAGCCUCACAGCCACCCUGGCAAGCGUCGGCGCGGCCAGUAUCCCCAGUGCUGGGCUGGUCACCAUGCUCCUCAUUCUGACGGCCGUGGGCCUGCCAACAGAGGACAUCAGCCUGCUGGUGGCUGUGGACUGGCUGCUGGACAGGAUGAGAACUUCAGUCAAUGUUGUGGGUGACUCUUUUGGGGCUGGGAUAGUCUAUCACCUCUCCAAGUCUGAGCUGGAUACCAUUGACUCCCAGCAUCGAGUGCAUGAAGAUAUUGAAAUGACCAAGACUCAAUCCAUUUAUGAUGACAUGAAGAACCACAGGGAAAGCAACUCUAAUCAAUGUGUCUAUGCUGCACACAACUCUGUCAUAGUAGAUGAAUGCAAGUCUCUCCAUUAUGUGGAAUAUCAGUCGUGGGUUUAAGUUUGCACAUGACGUUGAGGACAGACAGACAGAAGGUAACUCUGGCAGCCAAUGGAAAGUCAGCCGACUGCAGUGUUGAGGAAGAACCUUGGAAACGUGAGAAAUAAGGAUAUGAGUCUCAGCAAAUUCU